AUGUUGGCUUUGGCAGCACUUAUACCGAGAAUUGAAACUAUACAGAGAAGAUGAGCAUGGCCCCUGUGCAGGGAUGACCAGCAAAUUCGUGAAGCAUUCUGUAUUUUA
rnacentral:snRNA from 1 species